AAACUACGCCUACAUGAAGCUGGAAUUGCUAGUAAUCACAGGUCAGCAUACUGUGGUGAAUACGUUCCCGGGCCUUGUACACACCGCCCGUCACACCAUGAGAGUUGAGAAUACCCGAAGCCCAUGUCAAAGUGGUCGAAGGUAGGCUUGAUGAUUGGGGUGAAGUCGUAACAAGGUAUC
rnacentral:rRNA from 1 species